rnacentral:rRNA from 1 species
UGAACGCUGGCGGCAUGCCUAACACAUGCAAGUCGAUCGGUAAGGCUCUUCGGAGUACACGAGAGGCGGACGGCUGAGUACCGCGUAGGAACACACCCUGCAGUGAGGGAUAAGACACCGAAAGGUGUUCUAAUACCGCAUACGGUCUUCGGAUUAAAGCAUUUAUGCGCUGAAGGAGUGGCCUGCGUCAUAUUAGAUAGUUGGUGAGGUAAUGGCUCACCAAGUCGAUGAUGUGUAGCUGGUCUGAGAGGAUGAUCAGCCAGACUGGAACUGAGACACGGUCCAGACUCCUACGGGAGGCAGCAGUGAGGAAUAUUUCACAAUGAGCGAAAGCUUGAUGGAGCAAUGCCGCGUGCAGGAUGAAGGCCCUCGGGUUGUAAACUGCUUUUAUAAGAGAAGAUUAUGACGGUAACUUAUGAAUAAGGGACGGCUAACUACGUG